rnacentral:rRNA from 1 species
UACGGGGGGGGCAAGCGUUGUUCGGAAUUACUGGGCGUAAAGGGCUCGUAGGCGGCCAACUAAGUCAUACGUGAAAUCCCCAGGCUCAACCUGGGAACUGCGUCUGAUACUGGUUGGCUUGAAUCCGGGAGAGGGAUGCAGAAUUCCAGGUGUAGCGGUGAAAUGCGUAGAUAUCAGGAGGAACACCGAUGGCGAAGGCAGGUCUCUGGGCAUUAACUGACGCUGAGGAGCGAAAGCAUGGGGAGCGAACAGG